UUCCAGGUUUGUCAUCCUGCCUAGAUCCAGCAGCAGCUUUGCAGGAGUCAGAAGCUACAGGAGCCAAAUCCCAAAGUGGGGAUGGAUGUCCACUUUUAAUAAGAAGGAGAAAACAAAGCAGGAAGGAGGAUUGUCACAGAAUGACUUGAAGUGAUCCUACUGAGGACCUGGAAUCUGACUUGAAGUGAUCCUACUGAGCAAAUUUCCCAGAAUCAGAGUCCUCAGAUUGGCAUUCUGGAUCUGCUUCCCCUUUCAUUUUGGAGAGACCAAAACCUGUGAGAUUCUGCUCCACAUCCACUUCUCCAAACUGAGGGAAGAGUGAAUUCAGCUGUGGAAUUCUGAUUGUGGAUUCCUGAUGCCUCUGUUCCAGCACACCUAUUUUUCAGCUUGGUUCUGGCUUCAUCCUUCCUCUGACUGACCCACAGUUGGGCUGGUAGCUGCCCAAGGACACUCAGCAGUGCCAAAUACACAUUUCAGGGAGCCUCUAAUGAAUCCCCACUGAAAUUUCAUCAGCUGUGCAAAGUAGAUUGAUUAAAUGCUACUUACCACACAGGUAAAUGUUUUCUGGGGUGUGCAAUUAUUGGUAAGAAAAAUUGACUAGCAGGGUACCUGAAUUUCAUUCACAGCAUCUAUUCAUAGCACAUAGACACAUUGUACAAUUGCAGUCACUAUUAAGAAAAAUCAACAAAAGGCUACAGCAUUAUCUGUGCUUCUCCAGCAAUUUCCUCUCACAAAUUAGACAUGCCUUACUUUUCCUUUUGUUGUCCAAGGAAGUAUUAUUUGUAUAAUGUUCCACUGUGCUUUAAAUAGUUUUCCAGACCAUUUCUCAGAUGAACUAAGAAUAAAGUUACCUGCUAUUGAACUAC